rnacentral:rRNA from 1 species
UACGUAGGGUGCGAGCGUUGUCCGGAAUUACUGGGCGUAAAGAGCUCGUAGGUGGUUUGUCGCGUUGUCCGUGAGAACUCACAACUCAAUUGUGGGCGUGCGGGCGAUACGGGCAGACUGGAGUACUGCAGGGGAGACUGGAAUUCCUGGUGUAGCGGUGAAAUGCGCAGAUAUCAGGAGGAACACCGGUGGCGAAGGCGGGUCUCUGGGCCGAUACUGACGCUGAGGAGCGAAAGCGUGGGGAGCAAACAGG